AAAAAUCUAGAGAAAAUCAAAGGCGGCUGAAAAUUUCUUAAAAUUUAUUCCAUUGGUUUUUUGAUUUCAUUCUUGAGGUUUUCUGUUUUUCUGAAGUUAUCUGUGAUUCACAUGGGUUAAAGAUGGUUUAAUUUGGUUUUACAGAACUAAUCUUGAGCUGAACUUGUGUUUGGAGUAUUGUUUCAAUUCGAGCUUGGAGUUUAUACAUUUGGAUUCGAGUCUAUUUAUAAGUUUGGUUUGAAGCUGCUUGGUUCUGGUUUACAAUUCUAUCGGAUCUGGGGCUGAUUUCUUCUACUUCCUACUGUUGCUCGACCUCUGUUCAGCUUGCUUUGUUUUUUCUCAUUUUCCAGGUAUUUCAUGAACUGUGGAUGGAAAAUGGCUUUACCCAUGCAUUCUGUAGUAGAAAUUGAAUUGGAUGAAAAAAUUGUUUUGAGUUUUUGAUGUUUUGUUUUCUUCCUGCUCCCAGUCAUAUAUUUGUAGUAGCUUAGAGUUCUGCAUGCUAUUUUCAGACUUCAUAUGCCUUCAGUAUGAUGUAAUGAUAGAUUUAUGCUCUUGAAUUUAGGACUGUAUAAUUUCAAUGUGAGUACAAGUUUUAGGAGUCGAACACAAAUGUCAUACUUAAGUAAUUGGUAGCUAUUUACUUCUUUGUGAGUGCUGGUUUGUCGUAUAUCUUGGACUUUGCUUGGUUUUGGCUGGGAUUUGCUGGGGUUAUCUAAUGCAGAUUUAUGUUUAAGCUCAUAUUAAUCGUUAUUACUAACGAUUUAUUAAUCAUGGACACGUUCACAUGAUAUGAUUUUUGACGCACCAAACAAACAGGUACACGUACGCGUGACCCGUUUCAAGAUAGUUUUCUUAAUUAAAAAAGCAAUAAAAGGUAAAUACACAUAGGUCUUAGAAUGAGUAAUUAGACAAUUUAAUAUGCCAAGUAUGAUCAAAGCGGCCGUGCUAGAACCACGGAACUCGGGAGUGCCUAACACCUUCUCCCGUGUUAACAGAAUUCCAUACAUGGAUUUCUGUGUCCGUAGACAUAAAUAGAGCCAAUUGUUUCCUCGAUUUGGGAUUUUAAAUCAGUGACUUGGGACACCAUAAAUUAUUUCAAGUGGUGAUUAUGAAUUUUUAAUAAAAAAAAUAAUCUUGUUUCAAUUGUCACUUAAAUUAGAAAAAACUCCCUUAUACAUCCCUUUUCGGGGCGUAUAGUAAAAAGUAGGUGUGACACCCGGCUUUGAUUUUCUACACCAACAACAUUGCCGAGUACGAAGCCCGUAUUGUGGGUAAGAACAUGGCAAUCAAUCAAAAUAUGGAAGAAUUGUUAAUUAUGGGAGAUUCAGACUUGAUUAUCCGACAAGUUCAGGGUGAACGGUAAACUUGGGAUGUCAAGCUUAUUCCAUAUAGGCAACAUGUGGAAGAUCUUAGCUAGCGUUUCAAGUCAGUCGAGUUCAAGUACAUUCCUCGUUUUCACAAUGAGUUAGUUGAUGCACUCGCUACUUUGGCCUCGAUGUUACCAUAUCCAGGCAACGUCCACGUUGACCCAUUAGAAAUCCAAAUCCAAGAAAGACAUGGUUACUGCAAUACUGUUCAGGUAGAACCAAAUGUCCAGCCAUGCUAUCAUGAUAUUAAGAGAUUUUUAAAAAUCAAAGAAUAUCUCGAGCAAGCCAAUGGAGACAAAAAGAGAACCCUUAGAAGGCUUUCUUGUGGCGUUUUCUUGAGCGAAGAGGUUUUGUACAAAAGAACUCCAGAUCUCAAUCUUUUAAGAUAUAUGUGGAUUCCAAAGAGGCUAGAAGAAUCAUGCAUGAAGUACGUUCAAGAGUGUGUGGACCCGGGUUUGAAUGGAUACGUACUAGAAAAGAAAAUCCCUCGAGCAGAUUACUACUGGAUGACUAUGGAAAAGGAUUGCUUUAGCUUUGUCCGAAAAUGUCAUCAGUGUCAGGUGCAUGGUGGCCUGUUUCAUGCACUACCUACAAAGCCUCAUCCUAUGUCAGCACCGUGGUCAUUCGUAUCUUGGGGUAUGGAUGUCAUUGGGCCAUCGAGCCAAAAGCUUCAAAUGGGCACAGAUUCAUAUUGGUUGCCAUUGACUACUUCAAAAAAUGGGUUGAAGCAUUCAUUCUCAAAGAUAUUACCAAGAAAGCAGUGGUAGACUUCGUGUACUCCAGCAUCAUUAGCCAUAUUGGUAUCCAUACAACUGUCAUUACGAACAGUGCUGCAAACUUGAGUAGCCACUUGAUGAGGGAGAUAUGUGAGUAAUUUAAGAUCAUGCAUCGGAAUUCUACCCCUUAUAAGCCCAAAGAUAAUGGUGAUGUUGAAGUAGGAACCAAGAAUGUCAAGAAGAUUUUUAGAAAGAUAAUACAAAGUUUGAGACUAUGGCAUGAAAAGUUACCGUUUGCACUAUUGGGAUAUCACACAACUGUGCGCAUAUCAGUCGGAGCAACAUCCUAUCCAUUAGUUAAUGGCACUAAAGGUGUAAUACUUGCAGAAGUUGAAAUUCCUUCUCUCUGAAUCAUUGUUGAGGCUGAAAUUGAUGAUAGUGAGCGAGUCAAGACCCAUCUAGAACAGUUAACCUUGAUUGACGAAAAGCGGAUGGCUGCAGUUUGCCACGGGUAGUUGUAUCAACAAAGAAUGGCACGUGCCUAUAACAAGAAAGUACCGCAUAGGAACUUUGAAGUGGGGAAACUCGUUUUGAGAUGCAUUCUCCCUCAUCACAAGGAAGCAAAAGGAAAGUGUGAUCUUAACUGGAAGGGCCCAUAUGUUAUAAGAACAUUGUUANNNNNNNNNNNNNNNNNNNNNNNNAUGAGGAUAGUGAGUGGAGCAAGACCCAUCUAGAACAGUUAACCUUGAUUGACGAAAAGCGGAUGGCUGCAGUUUGCCACGGGUAGUUGUAUCAACAAAGAAUAGCCCGUGCCUAUAACAAGAAAGUACCGCAUAGGAACUUUGAAGUGGGGAAACUCGUUUUGAGAUGCAUUCUCCCUCAUCACAAGGAAGCAAAAGGAAAGUGUGCUCUUAACUGGAAGGGCCCAUAUAUUAUAAGAAAAUUGUUGCCGAAAGGGGCAUUGUACCUGGGAGACAUUGAAAGAAAUAGCACUGAAACAGUUGUCAAUGUGGACACUGUUAUGAGGUAUUAAGUUAAAUCCUUCUUCCAUACCAAUACUGUCCGACUGGGAUGGCGAAGGCUUUUAUUCUCGCUACCCCAAAAAUUUUUACUCUUUGCGUUGGUUACCUUUCUUUGACUACCCUUUUUAAACCCAAAAAUGUUUGUAAAAAAAUAAAAAACAAAAACAAAGCUUCCCUAGCUAUGUUCGACUUGAUUCUAAAAGGAUACGUAGGUAGCCUCUCUCUGGGGUUCAGUCACACCAAAACAAAAAUACAAAUUCCCCCAAAACUGAAACUGGUGCAUAUGUUAAAUGGUUCGGUGAUGAUCCCGCCCAAAGGUUCCAAAGUUAUAACUCAAUCCAAAUCUUUUUCACCCAGCCCCUAUUCAAGUCCUUCCGAUCAAUUGGUGAGAAUGUUCAAGUACCGAAGAAUACAAUUACAUGGAUCUGAUACAGCCAAAAUGAGAGAGUCUUAUAGGUGAAAUCCCACACGGGCACUGUCAGGCGACAAUAAGCAAAAAAAAUGAGAGAGUAUUAUUAGUGACAACUCGCAAAAAGCGUUAUAAGGCGAUGGUGAGAAGAGAAAUGAGAUAUGCCAUCUUGUGAAAGCCCGCAAAGAGCACCCUUGAUCGAAAAGAGGAUCCUCUUAAUCAUGAGCAUCAAUAGAAUCCUGGCAAGGUUCCUCAAUUUCAAGGCAAAGCUGUGAUAAAUUUCUGAGAGUCGGACGGCAUCUAGUCCAAAAGGCAUGUCAUGUUCAUUUAAGUCCGCAUGUACUCCAGAUAAGUCCUUUUCUUUUCUUGAAAGGGACACCUUUUAUUUAAAAUCGUUGUUCAUUAUGUUAUUUGUCUUUCUUUGAAUACCUUUGGGUCUAAUUCUAUUCUAAAACUAAGAUAAAGAAAGGAUGGUACGACUGAUUUACACAGCUUUCCUUAGAUACAAGAUAAUGUGCAAAAGGCACCCAACCUCGUCAAGGGCAUCAAGUCAACCUUGACUGGCUAUGGCAGUCGAUGCUUCGAAUCCAAAAUGAUCGGAAAGAGAAAAUCAAAUUGAAGUGCCUAUAAAGGCAUAUGAAGUUGAAAAGGUUAAGUCACAUGUGGCUAACUGUCUCGGAAAAGGUUUGAAAAGCCAAUGUACCCCAAAUGCUCUAAAAUUGAAGUUGGAAUAAAGAAUCCAGAAUGAAAGGCCUACGAAGGCGAAAUAAAAUUGGAAAAGGAAGUCCCACGCGACUAGCUAUUGCAUCAAGUUUGUGGAUUCAAAAAGUUCCCCGAAAAAAAUAAAAAAAGGAAGCCGGAAAGGAAAUGCCUAAGAAGGCAAAAUAAAGUCGAUAAGGUUGAGUUCCACUGAUCAACCAUCAUGGCUAAGUCUGGAAAAACGAGAAGUUCUCCAGGGCCUUAAAUGAAAUCGAUCCUCAGGGAAAAAGUAGAGUCGGUUGAGAUAUUCAUCAAAGAAGCCGGGCCAAGAUCAAGUGAUUGAAACAAUCAAGGCGACAAAACUAACCAUCGUUUCAAACUAACAAUUGUUCUUUGUUUGAAAACAUGAAACAGGUGCAAUCCAAAGCAAACUUGCAAGAAGCAGGUGCAACCAAAAGAAACUGGUCAAGGGCUAGAAAUAGUUUUACAGCAAUAAUAAAUCCAAAAAGGAAGUCUCUUCCAAAUUGUUUCAUGCAUUCUUGGUAAUUUUUUUAAAUUAAAAAAAAAAGAAGAAAAUUCAAAAACAUGGUAGUCUAGUAGUUAUAUUUUUCCAACAUAUGGUCUCUACUCCCUAGUUGAUUUUAUUCAUAGGGUCCCCACUCCCUAGUUGAUUUUAUUUUAGGCAUAGGGUCUCCACUAAUUAGUCUGUUUUCCAACAUAGGGUCUCCACUCCCUAGUUGAUUUAUUUUAGACAUAGGGUCUCUACUCCCUAGUCGCCUUUCCAACGUAGGGUCUCCACUCCCUAGUUGAUUUUAUUUUAGAACAUAGGGUCUCCAUUCCCUAGUCUGCAUUUCCAACAAAGGGUCUCCACUCUCUAGUUGAAGUUAUUUUAGACAUAGGGUCUCCAUUCUCUUGUCUCUUUUUCAACAUAGGGUCUCCACUCUCUAGUUGAUUUUAUUUUAAACAUAGGAUCUCCACUCCCUAGUUGAUUUUAUUUUAGACAUAAUGUUUCCGCUCCAUAGUCGCUUUUCCAACAUAAGGUCUCCACUCCCUAGUUUAAUUUAUUUUAGACAUAAGUCUCCACUCCCUAGUCUUCUUUUCCAACAUAGUGUCUCCACUCCCUAGUUGAUUUUAUUUUAGAACAUAGGGUCUCCAUUCCCUAGUCUGCUUUUCAAAAAUAGGGUCUCCACUCUCUAGUUGAAGUUAUUUUAGACAUAGAGUCUCCACUCUCUAGUCUCUUUUUCAACAUAGGGUCUCCACUCUCUAGUUGAUUUUAUUUUACACAUAGGAUCUCCACUCCCUAGUAUGCUUUUCUAACAUAGGGUCUCCACUCCCUAGUUGAUUUUAUUUUAGCAUAUGGUCUCCAUUCCUUAGUCUUGUAUUCCAACAUAGGGUCUCCAUUCCCUAGUUAAUUUUAAUUUAGAUAUAGGGUCUCCACUCCUAGUCGCUUUUCCAACAUAGGUCUCCACUUCCUAGUUGAAUUUAUUUUAGACAUAGGGUCUCCACACCCUGGUUGAUGUUUUAUAAAUCAAUACCACACAAGAGGGGGAUGAUUUGUGUGGUACCCAAUUUUUCGCUCUAGAAGAACUUGGUGUACUAACUCUACUGUUUGCGGAAUAAUAAAUACAUAAAGUAAGGAACAUAGAGAUUUUUACAUGGAAAACACCUGGCUCAAAAAAUAAAAAACCAGGACCUACUACUCAGUAGAAUUUUCCCAAACUUCCACUAAAAUCUCUGAGCCAAAAACUGCAUUUACAAAUACUCUUUUGUAACCUAGGAUUAACUCUAAUCCAAUUGUGGCACACAGCCUCAACUGUUGCGACAACUUCAAGUUAACUCUAACUUGAAAACUCUCAGUACCUAAUACAAAUACUUAUAAAUAAGCUGAAAGGUACAAUAUAAAACACCAACUACAAUUCAACUGGAAAUAAAGAAAGAUACAUAAAAUUCUUUAUGGAGCUGGUUCUUCAAUCUGGUUCAUGUAGCUUCAGGUUUUCACACUUGAAUCACACGCGAACUGCUUGCAAAAAGCCUUGCUAUUUUGCUCUCACUUCACGGUUAACUUCUGUGGUUUUGUACAACACUUUUAAUGUAAGAACAUCCUGCAAUUUAUAGAGUUAGUAGAUGAAGAAAUAAUUAGAAUUCUGAUGCAACUCUUCCUUGGUGGAAGAGUUCUAGUUGAUUUCAACUUCUAACUCCUNNNNNNNNNNNNNNNNNNNNNNNNNNNNNNNNNNNNNNNNNNNNNNNNNNNNNNNNNNNNNNNNNNNNNNNNNNNNNNNNNNNNNNNUUAAUGACUCCUUCUCCUUAUCAAUUAUGCAACCUUUUCGAUCAGGAGAUAUUAAAUACACCAAGUUAAGCUUAUUUCCUUCACGUGCAACCCACAUGUUCGAAUCUGCCCGUUUUUGUGCACCUGAGUGAUGGACCUGGUUCAUCCUGAGUUUCUUUUUUAGUUUUCAAAACUAACCUUUAAUUGGGCCAACAAAUUCCCCCUUUUUGAUGAUGUAAAAAUUCUAAAUAAAAUUCAAAAUACUAAAUAAUCUAAAUUAAAAUAAUCAAUUUGUGCUUUUCAUAAUCUUAGGCCAUGUUUCAACUCAGUUCAACAUCAACACAAUGUUAGAAACAUUUUUCCUUUUUAUCACUUAUCAUCAAGGACCAGAUAUAUUAGGUUAUGAACAUCACUGUUCAAAGUGUAAACAUCCCUUGUUUAAAGCACAACAUUUUUCCCCCUUUUGGAAUCAUCGAAAUGUUGCAUAAAUAAUGUGAGAUAACCAUAUUAUAAAACUUGCUCAUGGCCACUAGGGCUACUUUAAAUGCAAUCGUGGAUUAAUCAUCAUAGAUCAAGCUAAGAAUUUUAACCAUCAAAGAAAUAUGAACAAACAAUUAGAGCAAAAAUAGUGAAUUUUAUUGAUGAUUUAUAAGAUUCUACCACAAAGAAUAAGAAGAAAUAAAAAUAUAAUAUAAGCAAAAGAAACAAAAAAUCCUGAAUUGGGUCACUUGUUGAUCUAGACUAGGCUAGGAGGCUUAAGUCUAGGAAGAACUAGGUGCUUGGUUUUUGACUUGGAGGAGUUUCAGCAUACCUUGAAAAAUGCCAUCAUUCUUCUAUUUUUCUCUUUCCAGCUCAGUUUUGAGAGCAUCUCUCUUAGUCUCCAUCUCAAGCAAUCUCUUCUUCAACCUUUUAAUCUCAGCAUCCUUAGCCUCACUUUCUUGCACCAAGGCACUGACCUUGCUAUUCACUGGUACCUUCUUUUUUUGGAUGGACUAAGUUCUUUGAGAGUGAAAUUAACUUCAUAAUCGCAAGCAAGCAGAGUAUUAAUCCAAAAAUGAUCCAUGCUUGUACUAACCUCCCACCCUUUUAAGUGCAUUUAAUUAUGCAAACACAGUUAUGAAAAUAAAGCCAUAAGGGAAUGGUAUGAGUUUUGGUUCCAUUGAUCACUCUAUCAUGAAGUGAACAUUUGUGAGACUGAAACCAUAAGGAAUGGCAUGAGUUUGUGUGACAUUGAUAAACCUAUCAGUAGGUCCGCGAGGGUUUCCUGUUCAUAUGGAACAGGUUCAUCUAUAUUUUUUCCAAGUUGAACCAACCCCUCACCAGCUUCGCCAGAUCCACUUCCCCUUGUUUUUCUCACUCUCUCUUCUAUUUCACUAAAUUCCUCUCCCCAAACAACCAUUGCACCGGUUUCUUUUGUUAGACCAACAAGAGUGGGUGAAGAAUCAGGUACUCUUGUCCCAUUUCCGCUCACAGUACUCAUAGCGCCCUUGCUCUCCUUUUUUUUCAUUUUUACCACCAACAUCUCCAGAUUAUGUAGUCUCAAGACCUGCUAUACAUCCUACAAAUCUAUUCUCCAAAUUUGCAGCAACUUUAGAAAUUGUCUUAGGAGAAACUUUAGAAUAAGAAGAUAUCUGUUUAGUUUCGGAAGACCUACUUUCUUCCCCCUUAGUAGCAGACUUAAAUGAAUCUUCAGAUUUCUAGGGUUCUUUUUGUCUACCUGCUUGCAAUUGCUUGUUUAUUUUCUUGAUCUUCUCUCCUUCAGCAAAAAUCUUACAAGCCAUCAUCUUACUCUACUUCUCUUAAGGAUUGGUGUGGUUGAAGCAGUGGUAGAAGGUGUGGAAAUGGUUUCCUGUGGUGGCGAUGAAAGAUUUUCGGAGGUGUUUGACAUAUCUAGGCUAGGGUAUGGAAAAGAAGAGAAUUAGAUUGUGUCUGGAAGAUGAAAGAAGAAUGAGAGUUUUUACCGGCUUGCGAGAGAUGAGGUAAGGAAUACACUAAAGCUGAUCAAUCUACAGGGGAAUAAUUGAUGGGGUAACUACAGCUUUUCAGACUCUUAGAAGUUUAAUCAAACGGAAAUUCAAUUUUGAAGAGACGUUGGAGUGUAUCGCUAAAUCUAGGUACUUCCAUAGGUUAGGACUCUUUUGAAUGGGACUGGUUCAUUUGUAAUGGAUAAUUCCAAAAGGAGUUUGGUAUUGGUAGGAAUUUUUUCAUGAUCCAAAAAUAGUUAUUUCAAAUUAUACAGAGUGUAGAAAACAUACUGUGUUACCUUGAUGAACCAGGUUCUUCACUGAUAAUUCUCUUAUGUGAGUCUAUAUUUUUCAAAAUAGAGAAAAUAUCAUUAGAGAUUAAUGAGUCAUUUUAACACAUGCCGCAAGAGUAUAAUAUGAAAGUAUGAUAGUGAGCAAUAUUUGAUCUAAUUAUACAUAAUUUAUAGACUUUGUAACCAAUUUGUUUUUUAAAUUUUUUCAUUUUUUUCCAUUUCACCUUGAGAUAAUCCUUUUAAGUGCUCUUAAUCAUCCCUAAGUCCAACCUGUUCCUCUCAAAGUGAUCUCUAGUUAAGGCUUUUUUGAAGAUGUCAGCAAUUUGCUUGUCAGUAGCACAAAACUCCACAGUGAGCAAGCCUUUCUCAUAGUUGUCCCUCAAAAAAUAGUGUCUAGCAUUUAUGUGCUUAGUUAUCUUAUGAUGAACCAAUUUCUUUAUCAUACUAAUAGCACUAGUGUUAUCAUAAAAAAUAGGGAUGCAACCACAUCAAUUCCAAAGUUCAAUAAUUAAUGUUUGAUCUGCAACAAUUGAGUACAACAUGAAGUAGAAACAGCAUACUCCGCUUCACCAGUAGUUAAGGCCACUGAAUUUUGCUUUUUGAUAGCCCAUGACACAAGACAUGAACCAAGGAAGUGUUCCAUACCUGAGUUGCUCUUCCUAUCCACAAGGAAACCUGCAUAAUCAGUUUCAGCAUAUCCCACUAGGUUAAAAUUACUACUUUUGGAUACCAAAGGAAAAGGUCAGUGGUGCCUUUCGAGUAUCUCAAUAUUCUCUUGACAUCAGUAAAGUGGGACUUCUUUGGAUUUUCCUGGAAUCGAGCACAAAGACCUAUACCGAAAACAAUGUCAGGUCUUCUAGCAGUAAGAUACAGAAGAGAACCAAACAUUCCCCUAUACAAUUUCUGAUCAACAGAUGAACCAGGUUCAUCUAUAUCCAAUUUCGUGGAUGUUGCAAUAUGAGUGUCAACUUCUUUAGAUGUUUUUCCUGGUUUUGUUACUAAGGAAUAGGUUCAUGGACAGGUUCCCUCAAGGUUUGAGGAUCAGUUCCUCUCUAGUUAGUUCCCCCUGUCAUGUUGCCCUGGGUAGAAGGACCUGUUUCAUCACAGGUUCCUUCCUGUGAUGCUUCUUCAGGCUGGACUAUGGUUUCAUCAUUUGUAUUUCUUAUCAGCACAAUCUAUUCAUUAUCUUAUUCCUGCUUCUCAUAAAGAAUGUUAGUUUUAAAUAACAUAUACAUUUUUUCUACUCACAUAGUUCUUUUACUGUAUAUCUUAUAAGUUUUACUAUGUGAAAAAUAUACCAAGAAUACUCCCUCAUCACUUCUGUGAUCAUACUUACCUAGAGAGUCUUUUCCAUUAUUGUGCAUAAAGCACUUGCACAUAAAUGUCCUAAGAUGAGAUAUAUUUAGCUUUCUCCCUUUAAGUGACUCAUAGGGAAUCUUCUUAACAAGAGGUCUAGUCAUGCAACUAUUUAUGAUGUAGUAUGCAAAAGUUUAGCAAACUUAGCAUUUUCAAAUUCAAUUCCAUGAUCAGACAUAAUUGAUGCAAGUUGAUAACCUAGUUGUUUCUGAGUUUUUCAAACAAAAGAAGUAAACAUAUCAAAUGUUUAAUCUUUAGAUGUUAAAAAUAAUGUCCAAGUAAACCGAAAGCAAUCAUCAACAAGCACCAUCACAUAUCUUUUACCACCUCUGCUUAAUAUUCUCAUUGGACCAUAGUGAUCCAUAUGGACCAGUUCCAUCGUUCUGGUGGUGCUUGUCACACCUCCUUUUUAUACACAAACCUCGAAGGUGGUAUAAGGGAGUUUCUCCAAUUUAAGUGACAUUAUUCGAAAUGGGAUUAUUUGUUACAAUUGUUCACAGUCUCCACUUAGGAUGGUUUGUUUUUGGUGUUCCAAGUCACCGCUUUAUUUUAAAAUUCCAAAUCGAGAAAAAUUUGACUUUCCUUUUCAAGUCUGCGAACUAGAAAUUCUUAAGGAAUUUUGUUAACCGGGGGAAGGUAUUAGGCACCCCCAUAUUCUGUGGUUCUAGCACGGUAGCUUAAACUAUCAUAAUGGCCAUUACCUGAUUUUAAUACGUGUUUCAACCUAUAGUGCAAUUUUUAAUUAUUUACCGUUUUGAAUAAAUUUUAACGAAAAUUACAAUAUUAUUAAAAUACGUCCCGAAUCACGCCAUAUAAAUGCACCUAUGACUUUUGACAUAUUCUAAUAUUGUUGAGAUUUUGAUUUGGGUCACAUAGAUGCGCACUCGAGUUUAAAAAAGUGAAUUUAUUACAAUGCGAGCUUAAAGCAGCUAGCGCGUUAUUAACCCUGAGGGAGGCCAUGAAAUUUUUCUAAUUGCCAUAUCCCGAAUUUUAAGUGUUUUAAUGGAAGUAAUUAAAAAAGUCCACAUCAUUUGUGAUCUUUAUUCAGUGCAGCACACCUCAAAUUUAUUUUUUAAAGGAUAUUAGACUAAGCUUGAUGGGCCAUGGUCUAUUGUAUUAUCUAAGAUGGCUCUCCUAAAUUUUUUUUUGAGAGCCCACUAAAUAAUUAAAUUCGUAUGGCUUGUUUUCAAAGCUAAAUAUGGGCUGUGUAUUUCAAGGUCCAGUCGCUAAACACAAGAACUCCCAUGUUACACAGCUGGACCUGAAAUAGAGACCUAAUACUCUAAACUUGGACCUAAUGGAGCUAACUACGCCCUAGCGUAUGAUAUGGUUCACAACAAAUUGAUUAGAAUCCCACCCCAAAAGAAACUCGUCUGAGUUUGCUCUGCAAAAAACAGCCAACCUUGGGCUUGGAGAGAAGUCUGAAUUCCACUCCUCAAUGUGCUAGCAAUUUAAUAUAUAGCCAGCAUAAGUUCUUUUGAAUCUAACCUUAUUAUUGAAUUUAAACGCAGGAUUGUCGAAAGAAUUUAAAUGUAUGACUUCAGGGUUGCUAAAUACAAAUCAGGUCAUGAAUUGAAAAUAGAGCAAUUGUAGAUUUGCGUUCUUAAAAAAUUUAUGACAAUAUGAUCUUAGAAAGUCAUCUCUGUGUUCAUCAGGAGGCAGUUUUCAUGAAAACUCGUAUGAACAGUAUAUUAUGCAGUUCAUCAAAUAACAUUUUCCCUUUUAUCAGUUAACAUAUGAACUAUAUGAGCGCAUCACCUAAAUGUUGCCAUGAUCAUGCAGCUUUAUCCUGAUACAAUUAAACUAAACGGUGAUAUCUACUGAGUCUAACAAGUUUCUGAAUUUAAGCAAACAUUUACAAUUCAAACAAGCUAGAAUAUUAAGCUUAAAAAUACUCAAAUUCAUAUGAUCCUAACGUACAGAAUCAAGCAUGAAGAUAGAUGGUUACAAUCCACUAUUUUCAUAAGUACAAGUUCAAAACACUAAGUUCCUUUAUAUGCUUCAAAUUCAGUGAACAAACCCUACUCAACCUGUAUUGUUCUAGUUCUAACUUAGGAAUAUAAAAAAAUAGUAAUAUAAUCAGAAUAAACUCGAAUUCGAACAUCUUCUUCAUUUAGCAUGAAUUUCAAAUUCUUUACAUGUUUAGGAGUAGUCAUCGAGUAUGAGAUUAAGAGAAUACCUGGAAAUAAGAAGAAAACAAUGAAGAAGUAAGGUGCAGCAAAUUUAGCACAGCAGUAACAAGAAUAGUGUUCACCAAUAAAAUCGCCCAGAAAUGACCAAGAGAAAUCCAAUUGAACCAAAAUUGAAACCAACCGAUGUCAAUAGAGACCAAUUAUCACAGAUCUAACCCAAGUAAGACCAAAACAAACCAGUCCUUAUCCGAUUCAACUCAUUUAGGCUUCUACUAUUUCAGGAAGCGCUUGGAAAAUGCAAAUCUCACAAGUCCUUGGUAGAACAGUGUUGUUUUUUUUUGUAACAUUUUCAGCUAUUUUAAACUCUGAAUAUUUGUAGACUCUUAAAUCUCUCAGAAUCUUGAUCCCUCUUUUCAAUUUAAUUUUUUUAUCCCACCAGCCUACCUUGAAAGGAAAGGUUAGAAUGCCUUUAUAGGCCAGCAAAGUAGGGCAUCUCAGGUUUUUAUUUUGCAUUUCAAGUCCUUUUAGUUUUCAAUUUUUGCUUGCCAAUCCUUAAUGUCCUGGCUUGUUACCCAAGUUAUACCAUCUAAAACCCUGAAAUUUGAACUAGAACCCUCCCAUCUAGAAGCUUCUAGUGGCCUCUAUUUAUGUUAUUGCAAGAUUCUUUAAAGUUUAUUCCCUCAUUUACCCUUUUAGUCGCACGGUAUUUCAAUUUUGCCCUAUGUCCUGAUUUUGAACCAUUUAAGACCCUCAAUUUAAUGAUGUUGUAUUAGCUCUUGAAUUUAAACCAAGUUUUCAAUCACACUCACAAACUUUAACUUGAUAUUAGGCUUAGCCAAACAUGAUUAUUUGAGCCUAUGAGCAGGUCAUACAGACAAACUCAGGUUCGAACAAUUAAACAUCAUCCAAAUUAACCUAAACAACAUAAAUCAAUACCAGAGAUUAUCUGAAAGUAAAAAUGUCACAUAUUGGCACAUGCUCACAGUGCUUACCAUUUUCUUGCUUUUGAAAGAGGAUCUUACCUCCCUCCUCAUUGCACAAGCCUUACAAAUUUUGUCUUCCUUGAACUUAAUGUUUGACAGUCCUAUCACCAAGUCCUUGGAGACUAAUUUGUUCAGCUGAUUCAGACUGGCAUGACCAAGUCUUUUGUGCCACAAGAGGGGAUCAUUAUCCAGCGCAGUUAGACAAGUUAGUUCAUUUUCUGAGAGAGUGGACAAAUAUACGAUGUAAAUAUUUUUAACUCUCUUUCCCUGCAAAAUAAUCUUGUCACUGGUAAAAUUAAUCACAAAACAUCUGGUAGAGGUGAAUGCUACCAAGUUACCUUUAUCACACAAUUGUGAUUGACUUAUUAGGUAGUAUUUUAGGCUAUCUAUCAAGUAUCCAUUCUCAAUAGAGUGAGAAUCAGUCCUACCUACUUUUCCAACCCCAAUGAUCUCACAUUUCUUCCCAUUUCCAAAGGAGACAUCACCUCCUUUGAGGUUCUCAAGUGAAAAGAACUUGUUCUUGCUUUUGUCAUAUGGUUUGAGCAGCCACUAUCCAUGUAACAUAUUUGGCUGCUCCCUUUCACUUGGACCCGCAAAAGGAAAUCAGGGGUUAGUCUUAGGAAACCAAACUACUUUAGGUCCCUUUAUAUAGGCAAAAAGGUGAAUCAGAUUCUUUUUAGCUUAACCUAGCAGCCUAUUUUUCCCUUGAACAAAUUCUUUAUUCUUUAGACUAGCCUUUUCUUUUGCAGUGCAUUCAGAUUUAUAGUGACCAGUUUUACCACAAUGUGUGCAAAUUAUGUUCUCAGAAAAUGUGAGGUACUUGCUUUUGGGAUCCUACUUAGGUUCUAGGGUCCCAUAGCCAAGUCCUCUCUUGUUGCUACUGUAGUGCUCUUGUAGCCAGAAUAGUGUAUCAGAGGACUUAUUCCAUUUGCAAGUUCUAUAUAGUUCAUGUGUCACCUUGCUUAGAUCUUAUUUUAGGACUCCUGUUUUCUCAUCUAUUUUUGUACAACUCAUCUUUCAUUUUUCCUACAUUUUCUUCUAAAGUGAGUUGUAUGUGAUCAAAUUUCUUUUUACUAGUUCCUAAUUUCAAUUUUAGAUUUUCAGAUUUAAGCUCUAGGACUGUGGUGUCAAGUUCAUGAACCUGGUUCUUUAACUCAACAUUUUUACUUUCACUUUCACUAGCCCUAAGUUCCAGAUUUUCGGUUCUCAGAAAGUCUGAGAUACUUGAUUUUGGGAUCCCACUUAGGUGCUCCCAUAGCCAAGUCCUCUCCUGUUGCUACUAUGGUGCUCUUGUAGCCAGAAUAGUGUAUCAGAGGACUUAUUCCAUUUGCAAGUUCUAUCUAGUUCAUGUGUCACCUUGCUUAAAUCUUCUUUUAGGACUCUUGUUUGUUCAUCUAUUUUUGUACAACUCAUCUUUCAUUUUUCCUACAUUUUCUUCUAAAGUGCGUUGUGUGUGAUCAAAUUUCUUUCUACUAGUUCCUAAUUUCAAUUUUAGAUUUUCAGAUUUAAGCUCUAGGACUGUGGUGUCAAGUUCAUGAACCUGGUUCUUUAACUCAGCAUUUUUACUUUCACUUUCACUUUCACUCCCUAAGUUCCAGAUUUUUGCACUUAGCUUUAAAAAUCACACACUCCUUAGAUAGUUAUUUGUUUUCCUUGUUACAUCCACAGAUUCAUCAAUGAAAUCCAGGAGUAACUCAAAUAUCAUUUCUUUAGACAAAAAUUUGAUCUUGUCUUUGAGAUGAAUUAUACUUACCUCAGAUUUCUCAUCGGAUUCUCCAAUUGCCAUAAGUGCUUGUUCAUAUCCAUCUUCAUCCUCUAAGUCCUCAUCUGAGCUUUCUCCCCAAGCAUCAACCAAAGCCUUUGUUGAUCCUUUGUUCUUCUUUGGUUGAAAUUGUUCCUUCUUCCUGUUCUUUCGUUCAGCUCUUUCCUUCUUCCAUUCAAUUUCCCAUUGAGGGUAAUUUUUGAUAUGGUGAUCAGUUUUCCCACACUUGUAACACCCCUCAUUGAUUUGUUUUUCAUGAGACCUUGAUUUUUUGAAGGUUGUACCUCUUGAAGAACUCUUUCCACUCAUCAGAUAUUUUUUGAAAUCAAUCGUAAUCAUAGCCAUUCAUCAUCCUUCAGAUAUGAACCUUCAGCAGUUCUAAGAGCCAAACUUCUUUCCUUCUUAGGUGUAUCCAACUUCAUGGUUUGCCUUCUCAGUUCACAGGCAGUAAGAUUUCCAAUUAGUCCAUCCAGCUUGAGAGUAGAAAUAUUCUUAGAUUCCUGAAUAGCAGUGAUUUUGCUUUCCCAUGAGACUGGCAGAACCUUUGUCAAGAUUUUCUCAACCUUGUCUUCUUUAAGAAUAAUCCUUACAAGAGGCUUAAGUUCAUUUGUCAAUGUAGUGAACAUGGAGUAUAUAUCUUUUGGAUAAUUUCUCCUUCCUUCAUAGUAAAAUUCACAUAUUGAGAAUACAGUAGUGUUCCUCUGGACCUCUUCCCUUGAGGUGUUCCUUCAUGAGCCACUUGCAAAGUGUCCUAGAUUUCCUUAGCAGUGGUAUAGCUUUGGAUCCUGCUAUGCUCAUCUGGACCUAGUCCACACACAAGCCAUUUCUUGGCCUUAGCAUUUUUCUCCCACUUCUUCAGGUCUUCAGCAGUACAGUCAGCCCUUGUCUUUGGCACAUCCACUCCUUCAUCAUUCUUCUUUGUAGUUUCUAGAGGACCAUCAGUGACUAUGUCCCAGAGUUCAUAAUUUUCUCCUAUGAUGUGAUCAAUCGUCAUGUUCUUCCACCAAGAAUAGUAUUGUCCAUUGAAGAGUGGAGGCCUAGCAGUGGAUUACCCUUCCCAGUUCCCAGGUGAUGCACUCAUGUUGAUCUUUUCCGAAGGUGUUAGCCUCUUCAAGGAUAACCUACUAUGAUACCAAUUGAUGUUUUAUACGUCAAUACCACACAAGAGGGGGAUGAUUUGUGCGGUAUCCAAUUUUUCGCUUUAUAAGAACCUGGUUCUUCUAGGUUUACUAACUCUACUGUUUGCGUAAUAAUAAGUACAUAAAGUAAGAACCUAGAGAAUUUUAUGUGGAAAACACCUGGCUCAAAAGGUGAAAAAACCACGACCUACUACUCAGUAGGAUUUUCCCAAACUUCCACUAAAAUCACUGAGCCAAAAACUGCAUUUACAAAAACUCUUUGUUAAACCUAGGAUUAACUCUAAUCCAAUUGUGUCACACAGCCUCAACUGUUGCGACAACUUCAAGUUAACUCUAACUUGAAAACUCUAAGUACCUAAUACAAAUACUUCUAAAUAAGCUGAAAGGUACAAUAUAAAACACCUACUACAAUUAAACUAGAAAUAAAUAAAGAUAUAUAAAAUUCUUUAUGGAGUUGGUUCUUCAAUCUGGUUCAUGUAGCUUUAGGUUUACACACUUGAAUCACACGCGAACUGCUUGUAAAAAGCCUUGCUAUUUUUCUCUCAAUUCACGUUUAACUUCUGCAUUUUUGUGCAACACUUUUAAUGUGAGAACAUCCUACAAUUUAUAGAGUUAGUAGAUGAAGAAAUAAUUAUAGUUCUGAUGCAACUCUUCCUUAGCGGAAGAGUUCUAGUUGAUUUCAACUUCUAACUCCUUUCCUAUCUUGGAUAGUGUUCACUUUGAUUAAGGACUCCUUGUCCUUAUCAAUUAUGCUGCCUUUUCAAUCAGGAGAUAUUAAAUGCACCAAGUUAAGCUUAUCUCCUUCACGUGCAACCCACAUGCUCGAAUCUACCCGUUUUUGUGCACCUGAGUGAUGACCUAGUUCAUCCUGAGUUCCUUUGUCAGUUUUCAAAACUAAUCUUUACUUGGGCCAACACUAGUUGAUUUAUUUUUGACAUGGGGUCUCCACUCCCUAGUCUGCUUUUUUAACAUAGGGUCUCUACUCCCUAGUCUGCUUUUCUAGCAUAGGUUCUCCACUCCCUAGUUGAAGUUAUUUUAGGCAUAGGGUCCCUACUACUUAGUCUGAUUUUCCAACAUAGGGUCUCCACUCCCUAUUUGAAGUUAUUUUAAGCAUAGAGUCUCCACCCCCUAGUUUUCUUUUACAACAUAGGGUCUCUAUUCCCUAGUUGAAGUUAUUUUAGACAUAGGGUCUCCACUCCCUAGUCGCUUUUCCAACAUAUGGUCGACACUCCCGAGUUGAUUUUAUUUUAGAUAUGGGUUCUCCACUCCCUAGUCUACUUUUCCAACAUAGGGUCUCCACUCCCUAGUUGAUUUUAUAGUAGACAUAGGGUCUCCGCUUCUUAGUUGCUUUUCCAACAUAGGGUCUCCACUCCCUAGUUGAUCUAUUUUAGACAUAGGGUCUUCACUCCCUAGUCGCUUUUCCAAUAUAGGGUCUACAUUCCCUAGUUGAAGUAAUUUUAGACAAAGGGUCUCCACUCCCUAGUCACUUUUCCAACAUAGGGUCUCCACACCCUAGUUGAAGUUAUUUUAGAUAUAGGCUCUCCACUCCCUAGUCGCUUUUCCAACAUAAGGUAUCCACUCCCUUAUUGAUUUUAUUUUAGACAUAGGGUUUCCACUCCCUAAUCGUUUUUCCAACAUAAGGUCUCUACUCCCUAGUUGAUUUUAUUUUAGACAUAGGGUCUCCACUCCCUAGUUUUUCUUGUCCAACAUAGGGUCUCCACUACCUAGUUGAAGUUAUUUUAGACAUAGGGUCUCCACUCCCUAGUUGCUUUUCCAACAUAGGGUCUCCACUCCCUAGUCGCUUUUCCAACACAGGGUAUCCACUCCCUAGUUGAUUUUACUUUAGACAUGUCUCUCUACUCCAUAGUCUGCUUAUCAAACAUAGGGUCUCCACUCCCUAGUUGAUUCUAAUUUAGACGUAGGGUCUCCACUCCCUAGUCUCUUUUUCGCAAGGAUACACAAUUUUAAUCUUAUUGCUUUCAAUAAAGAGAUAGUCUAGAUUUGGUUACAAUAACUCACAAAAAUUUUCUUGAUUAAAACUAGGGCAGAAAAUUUUCUUCGUUUGUUUGCUUUGGUACAUGAAUAGGUUUCACCAUUAGGCACAAGUUUUGAGAUGAUUGAAAGACGAAGUCUCAGUCCAAAUAAAAGAAAAGAAAAAACAAUAAACGAAGUUGAAUUGUAAGUGUAGAAACGAAGAAAAGAUGCAGAUUGCCCAAGAUAUGAGUGAAGUCAUAAGUUUUGCAUGUCCUGCCUUGAUCUAAGAAGAUGAAGAAUAACGAACAAUCGGUUGCAACUAACGAGCAUCAAGAUUCAGAUCAGAGUCUACAGAAAGAACCAUCCUAGACUCAAGAUCAAGCAUUUGAAGGUUUAUAGAUAGGAAUCUUGUAACUCGUAGUUAAUGGGCAUAGCUAGUUUAGCUUUUCAGCUUUCAUCUUGGUGUAGUAAGGAGCUGAGCAAGCAGAAACAACAUCUACAAUAGUGAAACCACAGUUUCUCGGUGGUCCUAGCUACCAAAACUUCCAGAAAUACACUGACCUGAUUCCUUUAUAGCCAAGGAUAUGUAGGCUACCUCUGAAGCAAGGUCCAGUUAGACUCUUUUAGAAGAUUCUUUUCAUGGGGUUUCAAAUGGGAAAAAAUCCCUCAUAGUUGCUCAUUUUAUCUUUGCCCAAAAACCUGUUGUGUUUCUGAGCAAAGAACGGCAGUUGUGAGCAUGUGAUUUUUCUCAUAUACGAAAUACUCUUAUAAAAUCCCAAGGAAAUAGAUUUUUAGUUAAUUAUUUGCCAUUUUAGGACUUUUUGUAGAAUUUUAUUAAUUGUUUGUAUCUUUGUGCACAUUUAAUUUUUAUUUAAAUCAAGAAAAUACUAAAAACACCAUGCACUACAUUUAGGCUUCACUUUUACUUUUUCUAGGAUUAAUUAGUAAUUAUUUGUUUUAUAAAAAUGAAAAUCACAAAAAUUAGCCCAUUUUACAUUUUUACCUUUUAAUUUUAGGUUAUUGAUUUUUCUCUUUUAUUUUAGAAUUAAGUGUCAUGACCCCAGUUCGCCCUCAGUGAAUACGUCGUGACGGCACCUAGUCCCUACGACUAGGUAAGCCUAACAAUGCGGAUAUUAUACUCAAAUCAAGAUUUACCAAAAUGGAGAACGGAAUGUAAAAUGCCACUCGGCACAUACAACACAAUAUCCCAACUACUAUAAUAAUGUUCCAUAACCAGGAAACUCAUAGGAACACAAGCUAGAAGAAAAUACAGUAAAGCGCUCUAAUCUCCAAAGUAUCUAAAUCAACAGUAUGAUAGAAGGGCUAACACUACAAGACAGAAUAAAUAUGGAGACUCUUCGGUCUGCGAACCCAGCAGAAGUACCUCGAUGCCUCCAAAUGCUCUCCUUGCCUCAAGGGUGAUAUGCCUAGUGGCGAUACCUAGAUCUGCACAUGAAAAACAGACGCAGGAAGUGCAUGAGUGCACCACCGUGGUACUCAGACUAACCUCGGUCGGGUAGUGACGAGGAAGGUCAAGGCCCUAAUAAGGUUAAACAUAAUAAUAAGCUUCAACAAUAUGAAAUAAACAAUAUAAAUGAAAGCGACAAUGAAAUAAGACAUGUUAUACCAAGCAGCAACAAUUAUACAUAUAACAGAGUAAAAACCAUAAAGCUGAGCAGCUCAAUACCAAUAGUAACACGAGGAUAUCCCAUGAUACUAUCCUGUAGUCCCUUUCAUCAACUGUCCAAUAGAUCUCUCGGGAUACUGUCUCGUAAUCCAUCAUAUGUAUAUAUUCGAAGGAUCUCCCGGGAUACCAUCCCGUAGUCCAACUAUCAAUAUGCAGGGAUCUACCGGAACCCCGUUUCUGUAGUCCCAAAUGUAAAGACCCAGUAGUUCCAUAUAACUGUGCAAGGGGAUCUAUUAGGAAUCGAACCCGCAGUCCCAAAGUAAAUGUGCAGGGGGGUCUAUCGGGAAUCUAACCCGCAGUCUUGUGACAACCCAACAGGGUCAUCACUUGUUUACUUACCUAUUCUGUACUUCUAAGGCCUUGAAAACUUCAUCUAAGGUCACCUCAAUUUGCGUGUGUGGUCCGAGCGCGUAGCCGAAAAGCUUACAUAUGAAUUCUGAGAGAAAAAUACUAAAUUUUGACAUUAAGUUGAAUAAAUUUGACUCCAGUCAACCUUUUGGGUAAACAAACCCGGACCCGUGAUUUGACGAUCCCAGAGGGUCCGUAUGAAAAUAUAGGACGUGGACAUAUGCCCGGAAUCAAAUUCCAAGGUCCCAAGCCCGAGAAAUAAAUUUUUGUGUGAAAUUAUUUUCUGAAAAUAUUUAAGGAAAUUGGAAUUGAAAUUUGAUAAAAAGAUUAUGGUAUCAGGCCCGUAUUUUGGUUUCGGUUACCGGUACAAGUCAUAUAUGGUUUAAGCGCUUUUUAUAAAGUUUGGUUGAAAACGGACGUCUUUUGACGUGUUUUGGACUUAAAAUGGGACAAUGAUGUUUUAUGAAAAAUUGGAGGAAAUCAUGAGCUUUGAGGCUCGAUUCGAUGUAUAUGAUGUUGUUUUGGCGAUUUUAUCGCACGGAUAAAUCCGUAAGAUAUUUUUGAGGUUGUGUGCACAUUUGGUUUGGAGUCCAGAGGGCUCGGGUGAGUUUUGGAUAGGUGUCGAAUUGUAUUUUUGAACUUGCAAAAAUCUGGUAUUUUUCCUUUUGUGAUCGUCGCAUUGGCGAAGAUGAGACUCGCAUUUGUGAGCUCACAAAUGCGAGCUCUAAAUCGCAAUUGCAGAACCUUGGUCCUGGCAAUUGAUCGCAAAUGCAAUCCAACUCCUCGCAAAUGUGAACGUGGGAUUCUGGGCACUGAUCACAAAUGCGAUCAUUGUUCUUGCAAAUGCGAAAUCAGACUAGCCGCAAAUGCGAUCUUUAUGCUCGCAAAUGUGAAACCUAGAAAAAAGGUAAGGGUCCGCAAAUGCCGACCAUGCUUCACAAUUAUCACAUUAAUUGCGAACCCCAGUUUGCAAUUGCGAUAUUAGAGACUCAGCAAUUUCAUACUUAGUCGAAUUUCCACCAUUUUUCACCAUUGUUUCAAGACCCAAACCCCAUAGGCUAUUUUUCAAGGAUAAAACUUCUUCCUAAUCAUUUGUAAGUCAAUUUUUACAUAAUUCCUUCAAUCAUUUACAUCAUUUAACAUGUUUUCAACUUAAAAUCAGAACAUUUUAUGGGUGAAAUUGGAGGUUUUGGAUAGAACCUAUGUGUUUCUAAAAUUGGGGAUUUGGACCUUAAUUUGAGGUCCGAUUUCAAAACAAAUCAUAUAUAUGUGUUCGUAGGUGAAUGCGUAACCGGUUUUUGGUUUGAACCCCAGGUUUUUUCCACGUUAGCCUGAGGGGAAUUUUGGUUAUUUUACCUAAAUUCAUGUCUUAGCUUGAAUUAAAUAGUAAAAUCAGUUGCUUGAGAUGUUAUUUACAAUGUGUGAUUGAAUCGAAUAGAAUUGGGCCAUUUGAAGUCGAGUACUCGUUGCAAGAACGGGGUUGCUAGUUGAUUUUAGCCGGUUCGAGGUAAGUAUCUUGCCUAACCUUGUGUGGGGGACUUCCCCUUAGGAUUGGAGCUUGAAUUAAAUAGUAAAAUCAGUUGCUUGAGAUGUUAUUUACAAUGUGUGAUUGAAUCGAAUAGAAUUGGGCCAUUUGAAGUCGAGUACUCGUUGCAAGAACGGGGUUGCUAGUUGAUUUUAGCCGGUUCGAGGUAAGUAUCUUGCCUAACCUUGUGUAGGGGACUUCCCCGUAGGAAUUGAGUCUUCUUUUGCUUGUAUUCCUUGCACGCAAGGUGACGAGUGCGUGCACGGAUCUAUUUUUGAACAAUUUGUCCCUUUUAGGCCCUUAGAUACUUGUAAUCAAUGAAUAUGAAGUUGUUCUUGAUACAAUUGAGUUCCUUGUUAUUAGUUUCACCUCUACAUGUCUUACUUGGAAUUUAUUUGCCCGGUUUGGUUUGUUCUAGGUUGUUCUUGGUACAAUUGAGCUCCCUGUUAUUAAUUUCACCUUUAUAUGUAUUACUCGGAAUUUAUUUGCCCGGUUUGGUUUGUUCUUGUUGCCUAAUCGACUUUUACUUGAUUAACUAUGGACACUUACCCUUCUAUAGUCACAUUAUCAUUUCUAAUUGCUCGUCUUUAUUGGGAGUAAUAUUUCUAUCUCUCGUGUAAUUAAUUGGUCUUAAUUGAAAAGAAGUUAGAUAUUCUGUGCUUAGUUGAUACUUCCUUAAUUGUAAUUAUUUGGUUCAUGUUAACUUCCUUGUUACUGAACUGAGUAUUAUGGAAUCGUUGUUUCUUAUCAUUUAUUAUUUGUUGAGUUGUCCUUGUUUUUCUUAGUAUUUCUCUAUUACAGUUAUUCCUUGUGAAUUAGUUGUUCUGCCUUUUGGUGAACGGAAAUACCUUAGUGAUUCUCUUGCUUUGUUCCUGUAUAUAUUGUAUUUGCUACUAUUGAUAUUGUGAUGCAGUGCUACUGUUUAUAUUGUGGUGCGCGAGGUUUCUUCCGUGCUACUGUUGAUAUUGUGGUGCAGAGGUUUCUGUUGUACGAUUUUUGUUGAGGAUUAGCACGAGGUCUUUGCCGUGCCACUGUUGUUAUUGAUAUAUUGCACACGCGACAAAAAAAGGCGAGAUAUGACGGUGUAAUCGAAUUCCAAGGUCCGAAGCCGGAGAAAUGAAUUUUUGUGUGAAAUUGUUUUCUGAAAAUAAUUAAGGAAAUUCGAAUUGAAAUUUGAUUAAAACAUUAUGGUAUCAGGCAUGUAUUUUGGUUCCGGUACCCGGUACAAGUCUUAUAUAUGGUUUAAGCGCUUUCUAUAAGGAUUGGUGGAAAACGGACGUUGUUUGACAUGUUUUGGACUUAAAAUGGGAAUUUGAUGUUUAAUGAAAAUUUCGAGGAAAUCAUGAGUUUUGAGGCUCGAUUCGAUAUAUAUGAUGAUUUUUUGGUGAUUUGAUCGCACGGAUAAGUACAUAGGAUAUUUUUGAGGUUGUGUGCAUAUUUGGUUUGGAGUCCCGAGGGCUCGAGUGAGUUUUGGAUAGGUGUCGAAUUGCAUUUUUGAACUUGUAAAACUCUGGUAUUUUUCCUUCUAUGAUCUUCGCAUUUGCGAAGAUGAGACUCGUAAUUGCGAGCUCGCAAAUGCGAGCUCUGCAUCGCAAUUGUGAAACCUUUUCCCAGGCAAUUGAUCACAAAUGCAAUCCAACUCCUCCCAAAUGCGAACGUGGGAUUUCUGGGCACUGAUCGCAAAUGCGAAAUCAGACUAGCUGCAAAUGCGAUCUUUAUGGUCGCAAUUGCAAAACCUGGAAAAAAGGUAAGGGUUGACAAUUGCGGACCCAGCUUCGCAAUUACCACAUUUGGUCAGGGUUUGCAAGUGCGACAUCAGAGACUCGGCAAUUUCAUACUUAAUCAGAUUUCCACCAUUUUUCACCAUUCUUUCAAGACCCAAACCCCAUAGGCAAUUUUUCAAGGACAAAACUUCUUCCAAAUUAUUUGAAAGUCGAUUUUUACUUAAUUCCUUCAAUCAUUUACAUUAUUUAAUAUUUUUUUAACUUAAAACCAAUGACUUUCAUGGGUGAAAUUAGAGGUUUUAGGUAGAUCUAGGUUUUUCUUACAUUGGGGAUUUGGACCUCAUUCUGAGGUAAGAUUUCAAAAUAAAUCAUAUAUUUGUAUUCGUAGGGGAAUGGGUGACUGGAUUUUGGUUCAAACCCCGGGUUAUGACCACGUUGUCCUGAGGGGCGUUUUGGUCAUUUUACCUAAAUUCGCAUCUUAGCUUGAAUUAAAUAGUAGAAUUAGUUGCUUGAGAUGUUAUUUACAAUUUGUGGUUGAAUCGAAUAGAUUUUGGCCAUUUCUGUCUCUCAUGUAAUUAAUUGGUCUUAAUUGGAAAGAAGUUAGACAGUCUGUGUUUAGUUGAUACUUCCUUAAUUGUAAUUAUUUGGUUCAUGUUAACUUCCUCGUUGUAGAACUGAGUAUUAUGGAAUCUCUAUUUCUUAUCAUUUAUUCCUUGUUGAGUUGUCCUUGUUGCGCUUAAUUUCUCUGUUACAGUUAUUCCUUGUGAGUUAGUUGUACUGCCUUUUGGUGAACGAAAAUACAUGAGUGAUUCUCUUGCUUCAUUCCUGUAUAUAUUGUAUUUGCUACUGUUGAUAUUGUGAUGCACGAGGUUUCUACCGUGCUACUGUUGAUAUUGUGGUGCACGAGGUUUCUUCUGUGCUACUGUUGAUAUUGUGGUGCACGAGGUUUCUGUUGUACGAUUUUUGUUGAAGGUUUGCACGAGGUCUUUGCCGUGUCACUGUUGUUAUUUAUAUAUUGCACACGCGGAAAAAUAAGGCGGGAUAUUGUCAUAUACUUAUAUGUGGGUUGUGCAUGUGGAGAAAUAAGGUAGGAAAUACUAUGAUGCAUGUGUGGCAAAAUAAGGCAGUACUUAUUAUGUUAUUAAUUGCACACGUGGCGAAAUAAGGUGGGCUAUGUCAGGGAUUGAUUGUAAGGAUUGUGACGGCCUGUGGAGGAAUUCCGAUGCGUUUAAUAUUUUUAUUGUGUUUUCUUUCCUGUAUGAGAUUUAUCUUGUUGAUGUGGUGAGGGAACAUUGUGCGUGCUAUCGCUCUUCUUCUUAUCUUUAUUAGCUGUUAGAAAUCUUGUUGAAGCGCUCUCACAAGCAUACACGUAGUUGAAACACUCCUAUUGGAGGUGAAGUUCCCUUGGUUUUGCUAAGAAUAGAGGUACGUCCUCGUUUAAUCAUUAUAUAUAUAUAUAAGAGCGGCCCUAGUUGGCUUGUUAGUUGUUAGCAUGACUGUGAGACUGAUGGGGCACAUGAUGCCAAGUGUUAGAUUUUAGAUGCUGGGUUUUCGUGAGUUGUGGUUUGUCCGAGACUUGGUGAAAUUGUGGAAAGAGUCAAUAAGACCUUAUGUGAACAUCCUUGUAGGAUACGAAUUAUGGACUUGCUUGUCCCUUGCUGUGUUGUGACCUUAGGAUUUGGAUUGUGAUUUGCCGUUAUGCAUCAUCAUUUAUUAUUUUCUCGUUGUUACUUGUUGUUCCUUUCCCUUAUUGUGGAUUGUAGCAUUAUUAGUCAUUUCGUGCAGUCAUUACAUAUUUAUAUAUCAUUCCCAUUAUUCCUAUGAUUAUACUAUUUAUUGACCGAUAAAUGUCUUGACUGUUUCUCGUCACUACUCCACCAAGGUUAGUCUUGAUACUUGCUGAGCACCGCCGUGCUGUGCUUAUGCUACUCUUCUGCACAUUUUUGUUGUGCAGAUACAGGUACUCCCACUCAGUUCUAUCAGGCUUGGAAGGAGGCGUAUCGGUAGAGACUUCGAG
rnacentral:lncRNA from 1 species